rnacentral:rRNA from 1 species
CUACGGGGCGCAGCAGUAGGGAAUUUUCGGCAAUGGGCGAAAGCCUGACCGAGCAAUGCCGCGUGAACGAUGAAGGCCUUCGGGUUGUAAAGUUCUGUUAUCAGGGAAGAACAUACGGAUUAGGAAAUGACUCCGUACUGACGGUACCUGAUCAGAAAGCUCCGGCUAACUACGUGCCAGCAGCCGCGGUAAUACGUAGGGAGCAAGCGUUAUCCGGAAUUAUUGGGCGUAAAGCGUGCGUAGGCGGUUCGUUAAGUCAAAUCUGAAAGCCCACAGCUUAACUGUGGAGGGCGAUUUGAACUGGCGAACUUGAGUACGGCAGAGGUUAGUGGAAUUCAAUGUGUAGCGGUGGAAUGCGUAGAUAUAUUGAGGAACACCAGUGGCGAAGGCGGCUAACUGGACCGGAACUGACGCUGAGGCACGAAAGCGUGGGGAGCAAACAGGAUUAGAUACCCUAGUAGUC